rnacentral:rRNA from 1 species
GUCCGUCGUGAAGAGGGAAACAACCCAGACCGCCAGCUAAGGUCCCAAAGUCAUGGUUAAGUGGGAAACGAUGUGGGAAGGCCCAGACAGCCAGGAUGUUGGCUUAGAAGCAGCCAUCAUUUAAAGAAAGCGUAAUAGCUCACUGGUCGAGUCGGCCUGCGCGGAAGAUGUAACGGGGCUAAACCAUGCACCGAAGCUGCGGCAGCGACGCUKAUGCGUUGUUGGGUAGGGGAGCGUUCUGUAAGCCUGYGAAGGUGGCCUGUGAGGGUUGCUGGAGGUAUCAGAAGUGCGAAUGCUGACAUAAGUAACGAUAAAGCGGGUGAAAAGCCCGCUCGCCGGAAGACCAAGGGUUCCUGUCCAACGUUAAUCGGGGCAGGGUGAGUCGACCCCUAAGGCGAGGCCGAAAGGCGUAGUCGAUGGGAAACGGGUUAAUAUUCCCGUACUUGGUGUUACUGCGAAGGGGGGACGGAGAAGGCUAUGUUGGCCGGGCGACGGUUGUCCCGGUUUAAGCGUGUAGG